UAAUAGCUCACUGGUCGAGUCGGCCUGCGCGGAAGAUGUAACGGGGCUAAACCAUGCACCGAAGCUGCGGCAGCGACACUGUGUGUUGUUGGGUAGGGGAGCGUUCUGUAAGCCUGUGAAGGUGUGUCGUGAGGCAUGCUGGAGGUAUCAGAAGUGCGAAUGCUGACAUAAGUAACGAUAAAGCGGGUGAAAAGCCCGCUCGCCGGAAGACCAAGGGUUCCUGUCCAACGUUAAUCGGGGCAGGGUGAGUCGACCCCUAAGGCGAGGCCGAAAGGCGUAGUCGAUGGGAAACGGGUUAAUAUUCCCGUACUUGGUGUUACUGCGAAGGGGGGACGGAGAAGGCUAUGUUGGCCGGGCGACGGUUGUCCCGGUUUAAGCGUGUAGGUGUGUGUUCCAGGUAAAUCCGGUUCACUUUAACACUGAGGCGUGACGACGAGGCACUACGGUGCUGAAGCAACAAAUGCCCUGCUUCCAGGAAAAGCCUCUAAGCAUCAGGUAACAUCAAAUCGUACCCCAAACCGACACAGGUGGUCAGGUAGAGAAUACCAAGGCGCUUGAGAGAACUCGGGUGAAGGAACUAGGCAAAAUGGUGCCGUAACUUCGGGAGAAGGCACGCUGACACGUAGGUGAAGUGAUUUACUCAUGGAGCUGAAGUCAGUCGAAGAUACCAGCUGGCUGCAACUGUUUAUUAAAAACACAGCACUGUGCAAACACGAAAGUGGACGUAUACGGUGUGACGCCUGCCCGGUGCCGGAAGGUUAAUUGAUGGGGUCAGCGCAAGCGAAGCUCCUGAUCGAAGCCCCGGUAAACGGCGGCCGUAACUAUAACGGUCCUAAGGUAGCGAAAUUCCUUGUCGGGUAAGUUCCGACCUGCACGAAUGGCGUAAUGAUGGCCAGGCUGUCUCCACCCGAGACUCAGUGAAAUUGAACUCGCUGUGAAGAUGCAGUGUACCCGCGGCAAGACGGAAAGACCCCGUGAACCUUUACUAUAGCUUGACACUGAACAUUGAGCCUUGAUGUGUAGGAUAGGUGGGAGGCUUUGAAGUGUGGACGCCAGUCUGCAUGGAGCCGACCUUGAAAUACCACCCUUUAAUGUUUGAUGUUCUAACGUGGACCCGUUACCCGGGUUGCGGACAGUGUCUGGUGGGUAGUUUGACUGGGGCGGUCUCCUCCUAAAGAGUAACGGAGGAGCAC
rnacentral:rRNA from 1 species